rnacentral:rRNA from 1 species
GAUGAACGCUGGCGGCGUGCCUAAUACAUGCAAGUCGAGCGAACAGACUAGGAGCUUGUUCUUCUGACGAUAGCGGCGCACGUGGGUGUCACACGUGGAUUACAUCCCUUUACGUCUGGGAUAACUUCGGGAAACCGGCGCAAAUACCGGAUAAUCUAUUGAAACGCAUGGUUCAAUAGUGAAAGACGGUUUUGCUGUCACUCUUAGAUGGUACCGGGCCGCAUUAGCUAGUUUGUAAGGUAACGGCUUACCAAGGCAACCAUCCGUAGCCGACCGGGGAGGGUGAUCGGCCGCACUAGAGCUGAGACACAGUCCAGGCUCCUACGGGAGGCACCAGCAGGGAAUCUUCGGCAAUGGGCGGAUGCCUGCCGGAGCACCCUGGCGCGGGGGAUGGGGCACUUGGGAGCGUAGAUCGCUGUAAUGAGGCAAGGACGAAGGUGACAGAAUCUUGGCUGCCCGUGACGGUACCUUACUAGAAAGCCUCGCCUAACUACGUG